UACGUAGGGCGCGAGCGUUGUCCGGAUUUAUUGGGCGUAAAGAGCUCGUAGGCGGCUUGUCGCGUCGACUGUGAAAGCCCGGGGCUUAACUCCGGGUCUGCAUUCGAUACGGGCAGGCUAGAGUUCGGUAGGGGAGAUCGGAAUUCCUGGUGUAGCGGUGAAAUGCGCAGAUAUCAGGAGGAACACCGGUGGCGAAGGCGGAUCUCUGGGCCGAUACUGACGCUGAGGAGCGAAAGCGUGGGGAGCGAACAGG
rnacentral:rRNA from 1 species